ACGGCUCAGUAACACGUGGACAACCUACCCUUGGGUCCGGCAUAAUCCUGGGAAACUGGGAAUAAUUCCGGAUAGGUCACCGAUGCUGGAAUGCGCGGUGGCCGAAAGCUCCGGCGCCCGAGGAUGGGUCUGCGGCCUAUCAGGGUUGUAGUGGGUGUAACGUACCUACUAGCCUACGACGGGUACGGGUUGUGAGAGCAAGAGCCCGGAGAUGGAUUCUGAGACACGAAUCCAGGCCCUACGGGGUGCAGCAGGCGCGAAAACUUUACAAUGCGGGAAACCGUGAUAAGGGGAUCUCGAGUGCCAGCAUAUAAUGUUGGCUGUCCAGAUGCCUAAAAAGCAUCUGUUAGCAAGGGCCGGGCAAGACCGGUGCCAGCCGCCGCGGUAACACCGGCGGCCCGAGUGGUAACCGCUAUUAUUGGGUCUAAAGGGUCUGUAGCCGGCCAGGUAAGUCCCUUGGGAAAUCUGGCAGCUCAACUGUCAGGCUGCUAGGGGAUACUGUUUGGCUUGGGACCGGGAGAGGUGAGAGGUACCUUGGGGGUAGGGGUGAAAUCUUGUGAUCCUCGAGGGACCACCAGUGGCGAAGGCGUCUCACCAGAACGGGUCCGACGGUAAGGGACGAAAGCUAGGGGCACGAACCGGAUUAGAUACCCGGGUAGUCCUAGCCGUAAACGAUGCUCGCUAGGUGUCAGUCACGGUGCGACCGUGAUUGGUGCCGUAGGGAAGCCGUGAAGCGAGCCACCUGGGAAGUAUGGCCGCAAGGCUGAAACUUAAAGGAAUUGGCGGGGGAGCAC
rnacentral:rRNA from 1 species